rnacentral:rRNA from 1 species
UAGUACGGCGAGUGAAGCGGGAAGAGCUCAAAUUUGAAAUCUGGUAGCCUUCGGUUGCCCGAGUUGUAAUCUAGAGAAGUGUUUUCCGCGUUGGCCCAUGUACAAGUCCCUUGGAACAGGGCGUCAUAGAGGGUGAGAAUCCCGUCCUUGACAUGGACCCCCAAUGCUUUGUGAUACACUUUCAACGAGUCGAGUUGUUUGGGAAUGCAGCUCAAAAUGGGUGGUGAAUUCCAUCUAAAGCUAAAUAUUGGCGAGAGACCGAUAGCGAACAAGUACCGUGAGGGAAAGAUGAAAAGCACUUUGGAAAGAGAGUUAAACAGUACGUGAAAUUGUUGAAAGGGAAACGAUUGAAGUCAGUCAUGCUCUUUGGAUUAAGCCGUUCUGCGGUGUAUUUCAUUGAGCGGGGUCAACAUCAGUUUUGAUCGCUGGAAAAGGGCAGGAGGAAGGUAGCACUCUCGGGUGAACUUAUAGCCUCUUGUCGUAUACAGUGAUUGGGACUGAGGAACGCAGCAUGCCUUUUGGCCGGGAUUCGUCCACGUACAUGCUUAGGAUGUUGACAUAAUGGCUUUAAACGACCCGUCUGA